AGGAUUCUGGGGGGUUUUGUUUGUUGCCCCUUUUUCUCCCCCAAGCUUGAAAAGUGACGGUACCAGUGGCUAGCUCCGUGAAUAAAAAGCUGAAAAAUAAGACGGAAUUUUCAAAUAGCAACUCACAAAACGCGGUCCGAAUAAAACUGCGCCGAUGGACGGUCAACUGUGAAGCCAACACAUUUCCCUAAGUGACGUUUAGGAAUGAUGGCUGCUUCAAAUCUUUUCUGCCUCCCUGCUGUAGCCGCUUUUGAGAGUAUUUAUCAUACGACUCCAAUUUCAAAUCACUUCUCGGGGAAAUUGACAAAAGUGUGCUUGUGGCUGCUUGCUUCAAGGUGCCAAGUCCACUUCUUAUCUUGGCCCUGGGAAGAGAAGAUUAAAAAGCAAGAUAAUAACAUAGUGAGGCAUGUAUGCUCUUUGGAAAAAAA